ensembl:lncRNA
GUGCGUGUGAGAGGUUACAUUUUCAGUUGUGCGUGUGAGAGGUUACAUUUUCAGUUGUGCGUGUGAGAGGUUACAUUUUCAGUUGUGCGUGUGAGAGGUUACAUUUUCAGUUGUAUGUGUGAGAGGUUACAUUUUCAGUUGUAUGUGUGAGAGGUGUUCACUGUGGUAUAAGAGAGGUUCUCACUCAUGAGUAUGAGAGGUUUUCAGUUGUCAUUGUGUGAGGUUCCAUUUUCACUAGUGUACGUGAGGGGUGUUUAGUAGUGAAUGUGAGUGUAUUUCAGUAGUGUUUGUGAAAGGCAAA